rnacentral:lncRNA from 1 species
CAACGGAAAGCUCAUUUCGAGCCCUACGACCGUGAAGCAGCAGAAGCCCAGAUGAAUGGGUUGGAGCAUCAAAAUGGUGGCACAGGCUUCGAACGGCCAUAACUUUUGAUCCGGGAGGAGCUACGGGGGCGACAAUAUAUCAACGGAAUGCACGUUCCGAGCCCUAGGACCGUGAAGCAGCGGGAAGCCCAGAUGAAUGGGUUGGAGCAUCAAAAUGGUGGCACAAGCUUCGAACGGUCAUAACUUUUGAUCCGGGAGGAGUUACAGGGGCGAUAAUAUAUCAACGGAAAGCUCGUUUCGAGCCCU